rnacentral:rRNA from 1 species
UACGUAGGGUGCGAGCGUUGUCCGGAAUUAUUGGGCGUAAAGAGCUCGUAGGCGGUGUGUCACGUCGGCCGUGAAAACCUGCAGCUUAACUGUGGGCGUGCGGUCGAUACGGGCAUCACUGGAGUUCGGCAGGGGAGACUGGAAUUCCUGGUGUAGCGGUGAAAUGCGCAGAUAUCGGAAGGAACAUCAGUGGCGAAAGCGGCUUCCUGGACCAGCACCGACGUUCAGGCACGAAAGCGUGGGGAGCAAACAGG